GAGUUUGAUCAUGGCUCAGGAUGAACGCUGGCGGCGUGCUUAACACAUGCAAGUCGAGCGAAGCGCCUUAUUUGAUUUUCUUCGGAACUGAAGAUUUGGUGACUGAGUGGCGGACGGGUGAGUAACGCGUGGGUAACCUGCCCUGUACAGGGGGAUAACAAUCAGAAAUGACUGCUAAUACCGCAUAAGACCACAGCACCGCAUGGUGCAGGGGUAAAAACUCCGGUGGUACAGGAUGGACCCGCGUCUGAUUAGCUGGUUGGUGAGGUAACGGCUCACCAAGGCGACGAUCAGUAGCCGGCUUGAGAGAGUGAACGGCCACAUUGGGACUGAGACACGGCCCAAACUCCUACGGGAGGCAGCAGUGGGGAAUAUUGCACUAUGGGGGAAACCCUGAUGCAGCAACGCCGCGUGAGUGAAGAAGUAUUUCGGUAUGUAAAGCUCUAUCAGCAGGGAAGAAAGUGACGGUACCUGACUAAGAAGCCCCGGCUAACUACGUGCCAGCAGCCGACCG
rnacentral:rRNA from 1 species